rnacentral:rRNA from 1 species
UACGUAGGGUGCGAGCGUUGUCCGGAAUUAUUGGGCGUAAAGAGCUCGUAGGCGGUCUGUCGCGUCGAAUGUGAAAACCCGGGGCUCAACUCCGGGCUUGCAUUCGAUACGGGCAGGCUAGAGUUCGGUAGGGGAGACUGGAAUUCCUGGUGUAGCGGUGAAAUGCGCAGAUAUCAGGAGGAACACCGGUGGCGAAGGCGGGUCUCUGGGCCGAUACUGACGCUGAGACGCGAAAGCGUGGGGAGCGAACAGG